GAUGAAGAACGCAGCGAAAUGCGAUAAGUAAUGCGAAUUGCAGAAUUCAGUGAGUCAUCGAAUCUUUGAACGCACAUUGCGCCCUGUGGUAUUCCGCAGGGCAUGCCUGUUCGAGCGUCAUUUCAACCCUCAAGCUCUGCUUGGUGUUGGGCCCUGCCCGCUGCGGCCGGCCCUAAAGACAGUGGCGGUGCCGCCUGGCCCUGAGCGUAGUACAUCUCUCGCUCCAGUGCCCGGUGGUAGCCUGCCAGAACCCCAACUCUCGUGGUUGACCUCGGAUCAGGUAGGGAUACCCGCUGAACUUAAGCAUAUCAAUAAGCGGGGA
rnacentral:misc_RNA from 1 species